rfam:Actinobacteria bacterium SCGC AG-212-D09 AG-212-D09.23, whole genome shotgun sequence.
CGGGGCGUGGCGCAAUCUGGUAGCGCGCAGCCUUUGGGUGGCUGAGGUUCUCGGUUCAAAUCCGGGCGCCCCGA